rnacentral:lncRNA from 1 species
AAUUGUAGAAUCUGUGGCCUAUCAAGAUGAAGAAGCUCUGGGUGGGGAUUGUCGUGCCGUGGCUGAGUAGCAUCAGGUGUGCCUCAGACUGUGUGGGGUCAGCAGAGUUCUUCCCCUGCCCUUUGACCUGCUUGGUGGAGCAGCGGGAAUGUGACAGGAUUGCAAGAGCAGGGCUGCGGUCCAGGCACUGUGGGGAGUAUCAGUGUGCCCUUUUAAAGGCCUGGCGUAGAGUACAUGCCAUGCUUGAGGCUUAAGCUCCCCCAUGUCCUCCCACGAGGAAGGGAUAUUGCUCCCAGUCCUUGGCCUCCCUGGCAUCCUCUUGCAGAGUUGGCCUUCUCCAGGCUUGUGUUCCUGCCCACCCUCAGUGCCCAUGACUUGCAGUUGAUUGAGGAGCAGGGAGGAAGUAAGGAGGGCUGGCCAGAGACAGUUCUAUGUUGGGGGCUUAUCUCACCAUAGCAAUCCUCUGUCACCCCCAGUUUGCUCACACCUCCCUGAGGAAGUAAGGAGGGCUGGCAAGAGACAAUUCUAUGUUGGGGCUCAUCUCACCAUAGCAAUCCUCUGUCACCCCCAGUUUGCUCACACCUCCCUGUCUCAUUUUCCUCCCCAGUUGGACCCCCAGCCUUGUUGCCUCUCUACUUCCAGUGGUAUAUCUUCUAUUUUGUUGUUCAGCGGAAGAAAUGGGUGGACUUGGCCUGGAUGCUCAGCUUCUAUGCCCGUGUCUUCUUCACUUACAUGCCCCUGCUGGGGCUGAAAGGCUUCCUGGGCCUUUUCUUCAUUGUCAGGUUCCUGAAGAUCAGUUCUGGUGACCCAUCUUCAGUUCUGUCGACUCAUACACGGUCCUUGCCCAAGAAUAGGGCUGCAGGGAGGGAAUGUAGAAGGUCAUUGGCCUCAUUCUUAAUUCUGCUUUCCUCUUUCAGGUACCCACCAGGCAGCUUCACCAAGUCCCUGCUUUUGUAAAUUAAUUUUUUACAUUGCUACAAGUAUCCCACCUGCUGUUUACAAUAAAGGCAGAUGUGUGACAGACCUGCCUCAUGUCCAUUCUUGUUGGGGGGGGGGAGGUUACUUGGUCUCUUGACUAAAGUACUGUCUUUUCUACGUCUUAGCUGCUGAAGCUGGGG